GCUUAAUUUGACUCAACACGGGGAAACUCACCAGGUCCAGACAUAACUAGGAUUGACAGAUUGAUAGCUCUUUCUUGAUUUUAUGGGUGGUGGUGCAUGGCCGUUCUUAGUUGGUGAGUGAUUUGUCUGGUUAAUUCCGAUAACGAACGAGACCUUAACCUGCUAAAUAGCCCGGCCGGCUUUUGCUGGUCGUUGGCUUCUUAGAGGGACUGUCAGC
rnacentral:ncRNA from 1 species